rnacentral:rRNA from 1 species
ACGAACGCUGGCGGCGCGCUUCAGACAUGCAAGUUGAACGAUGUAGCAAUACAGAGUAGCAAACGGGUGAGUAACACGUGGGAAUCUACCUCAGGGUGUGGAAUAACACCGGGAAACCGGUGCUAAUACCGCAUAAUGUCUUCGGACCAAAGGUUUACCGCCUUGAGAGGAGCCCGCGUAAGAUUAGCUAGUUGGUGGGGUAAUGGCCUACCAAGGCGAUGAUCUUUAGCUGGUUUGAGAGGAUGAUCAGCCACACUGGGACUGCGAUACGGCCCAGACUCCUACGGGAGGCAGCAGUUUGGAAUCUUGGACAAUGGGGGCAACCCUGAUCCAGCGACGCCGCGUGUGUGAUGAAGGCCUUCGGGUUGUAAAGCACUUUUGUCUGUGAAGAUAAUGACGGUAACAGACGAAUAAGCCCCGGCUAACUUCGU